AGCGAACGCUGGCGGCAGGCCUAACACAUGCAAGUCGAACGGACCCUUCGGGGUUCGUGGCGGAGGGGUGAGUAACACGUGGGAACGUGCCUUUAGGUUCGGAAUAGCUCCUGGAAACGGGAGGUAAUGCCGAAUGUGCCCUUCGGGGGAAAGAUUGAUCGCCUUUAGGGCGGCCCGCGGUUGAUGAGCUAGCUGGUGAGGUAAGGGCGCACGAAGGCGACAGUCAGUAGCUGGUCUGAGAGGAUGACCAGACACAUGGGGACUGCGAAACGGCCCAAACUCCUACGGGAGGCAGCAGUGGGGAAUAUUGCGCAAUGGGCGAAAGCCUGACGCAGCCAUGCGGCGUGGAUGAUGAAGGUCUUAGGAUUGUAAAAUCCUUUCACCGGUGAAGAUAAUGACUGUAGCCGGAGAAGAAGCCCCGGCUAACUUCGUGCCAGCCGCCGCGGUAACAC
rnacentral:rRNA from 1 species